GAUUAACGCUGGCGGCGUGCAUAACACAUGCAAGUCGAACGAAAAGAGGGAAAGAGCUUGCUCUUUCCGGAAUUGAGUGGCAAACGGGUGAGUAACACGUAAACAACCUGCCUUCAGGAUGGGGACAACAGACGGAAACGACUGCUAAUACCGAAUAAGUUCCAAGGGCCGCAUGGCCCAUGGAAGAAAAGGUGGCCUCUACCUGUAAGCUAUCGCCUGAAGAGGGGUUUGCGUCUGAUUAGCUGGUUGGAGGGGUAACGGCCCACCAAGGCGACGAUCAGUGGCCGGUCUGAGAGGAUGAACGGCCACACUGGAACUGAGACACGGUCCAGACUCCUACGGGAGGCAGCAGUGGGGAAUCUUCCGCAAUGGGCGAAAGCCUGACGGAGCAACGCCGCGUGAGUGAUGACGGCCUUCGGGUUGUAAAACUCUGUGAUCCGGGACGAAAAGGCAGAGUGCGAAGAACAAACUGCAUUGACGGUACCGGAAAAGCAAGCCACGGCUAACUACGUGCCAGCAGCCGCGGUAAUACGUAGGUGGCAAGCGUUGUCCGGAAUUAUUGGGCGUAAAGCGCGCGCAGGCGGCUUCCCAAGUCCCUCUUAAAAGUGCGGGGCUUAACCCCGUGAUGGGAAGGAAACUGGGAAGCUGGAGUAUCGGAGAGGAAAGUGGAAUUCCUAGUGUAGCGGUGAAAUGCGUAGAGAUUAGGAAGAACACCGGUGGCGAAGGCGACUUUCUGGACGAAAACUGACGCUGAGGCGCGAAAGCGUGGGGAGCAAACAGG
rnacentral:rRNA from 1 species